GUUACAGCAAGGCGGAGGACGGGGAACCACUGUGUCUGACUGGAUCUUACGGCUGGGAAAGAGCCCCGAGGAGAAGCCGUGGUCUCCCCAGGCACGAUGGCAGGAAGGAAAAGAGGAACAGAAUGUGGCUGAGUAACGCCCAAGCGUGACCCACUUCCAAGCCCGGAGCUGGCUUGGUGGUGUCCUGCCCUGCCUGGUGCUGGUCACCCAGGGAGGGAGUGAGGAAUGGUGCUGGGUGGACUGCACUGCCUGAAAACACAGCCCAAAAUAGCUCUUCAUCCACUCCCCGGAUGGUGCCUGCGUAACUGCGCUCCGAUAUUAGAGGAACAGUUUCUGUCCGCACAACUGAUAACCAGGCCUGCACCAAUGGAUGAUGUUCCUGGCUAGACAGAAGUCUGAUCGUGGAGCAACAGGAUGCUGGCCCAUUCCAGAACAAUCCCUGUGCAUCCCAGGUUCCACACCUUAUGGAUCCACUGGCUGGUUUUUCCAGUUUGUUUCCUAAGAGCAAUUUACAAAUUUCUUUGAAGAACCAUCUGGAAGCUGGUCUCCUGAUC